CCCUUAGUUGCCAGCAUUUAGUUGGGCACUCUAAGGGGACUGCCGGUGAUAAGCCGAGAGGAAGGUGGGGAUGACGUCAAGUCCUCAUGGCCCUUACGGGCUGGGCUACACACGUGCUACAAUGGUGGUGACAGUGGGCAGCGAGCACGCGAGUGUGAGCUAAUCUCCAAAAGCCAUCUCAGUUCGGAUUGCGCUSUGCAACUCGAGUGCAUGAAGUUGGAAUCNNUAGUAAUCGCGGAUCAGCAUGCCGCGGUGAAUACGUUCCCGGGCCUUGUACACACCGSCCGUCACACCAUGGGAGUUGGUUUUACCCGAAGGUAGUGCGCUAACCGCAAGGAGGCAGGGAANNNNNNNNAUUUUGUCAGCGACUGGGGUGAAGUCGUAACAAGGUAACCGUA
rnacentral:rRNA from 1 species